UUCACAUUUGCCAGAAACUGUUCUAAAAGCUCUAGAUGUAUUAACCCAUUUAAUUUUCACAGAAAUUCUAUAGAUUAAAUAUUUCCUACCUAUUUUUUUUAGAUGAACAAGCAAAGACCCCACAAGGCUAAUUUUCAGAGCUAGUAAAUGAGAGAAGAGAACACAAGGAAAAUGAAGAAAGACAAAAUAUUAGCAUCUCUGACAUUUACAGAACAGAUGGGAGAGAAGAACCUGGAGGAAAGCUGUAAAGGGUACAUCAGAGAGUAAUGGUACAUCACUUCCCAGUGAGAAUCCGUCUCUCAGCUUUCCUUGAAGUAACAUGAGGAUAAGCACCUGUCAGUAGAAAGUGAGUAGAUAUAAAGUGUGUUACUCCUUUGUCUGGGUUUUAAGUCACUAAGGGUCCUUCUUCCAAAUAUUUUUUUCCUUACCUUCCUUGGCCAGAG
ensembl:lincRNA